GCCAAGACAAGUCUGCAGGAUUUGGUCACAAGGAAGUAGCCUCAGGACAGUGGAGGUGGAAGCAGACUUGAGUGGGUUGAAGGAAGAGUGGUGAGGAAGUGGGCCCAGCACGUAGAGAUUUUUUCCAUAUUUUCUUGAGAAACAAAUGCAUGCCUCAUGCAGCAGAUCAAGGUGGUGACUGUAUUUGCCAGCGUACCAGACACACCACUGCGUAAGGGAAAAGGAAUUUCUCCUGGAGCUGAUAAUUUCCACCGUGUUCAGCAACAUUUGUCUCUUGGGCUUCUGAAUAAGCCCAGGAGGCAUAUGGGAUCUUAGCACGCUGACCAGGGAUCCAAACUGCACUGAAAGUUUCAACCACUGGACUGCCAGAGAAGUUCAUAAAAUGGUUGCUUUUAUAGUUUUGUGAAUUUUACCUCAAUUAAA